rnacentral:ribozyme from 1 species
UGCCAAUGUUUUUUUUUUUUUUUUUUUUUUUUUUUUUUUC